rnacentral:rRNA from 1 species
AUGCUAGAACACAACCUUUGUAUCAUUAGUGGGAAUGUACGUGGGCUCAACUGCCCGGAUCGUAGAACUACCAUGCAUGAGGUCGUCGCCGCCUCCCGCUGCAACCUGUUGUGUAUUCAGGAGUCCAAGUUGGCUGUUUUGGAUGCCCAAACUGCUUCUUAUAUCGGAGGCAACCGACUGAGAAGGUUCGCCACCUUGCCGGCCGUGGGCACCAGAGGGGGAAUCAUCCUGCUCUGGAACGAGGACAUCAUCGGUGCCUCUGACAUUUCCAUGGGGGAAUUCACCCUGUCGGCCACAAUCACAAUUUUGGAAUCCAAUACCUCCUUCAAGUUGACCACGGUCUACGGUCCAACCAACAACAGCAGAAAGGACGACUUCUUCGCGGAACUGCUCGCGCAGAAGCCGGCAGCCGGCACCUUGUGGCUCGCAAAUGGGGACUUCAAUCAAAUAUAUUGGGCCAGAAACAAGAACAAAAGUAAUGCUAACAUCUCACGUAUAAAUCAUUUCCAGAACACCUUGCAUGCCUGUGAGUUAAAGGAAAUCCAUCUGCAAAAUCGGAAAUUCACGUGGAGCAACGAAAGACUUGAUCCUACCCUUUGCAAACUCGAUAGCUUUUUCUGCAACUCUGAUUGGGACGUCCAAUUUGGUUCUCGCGUCCUCUCUGCCAUGGCGACAUCCCUUUCUGACCACUGUCCACUAAUCCUGGCUAGCGACCGCGGUCCUAAAAGGCCCCGGAAAUUCAAGUUUGAGAACUUUUGGAUCAAGCUACCGGGAUUCGGUAGGGUCGUGGCGGACGAGUGGGCCAAGCCAACCAUGCACACCGAACCUUGUCGUAUACUAGCUGAGAAGCUGCGCCGCCUCGGCGUUGCGCUGAGACGUUGGAGCAAUAGUUUCUUCUCCACUGCCAAGCUACAACUCACAAUGGCCUUGGAGGUUAUCCUCAGGUUGGACAUGGCCAUGGAUUUGCGACCUCUGUCCUUGGAGGAGCGAGACUUGAGGGCGAGGCUUAAGAGGAGAGUGACUGGUUUUGCAGUUCUGGAAAGGGCAAGAAAGAGACAUGCCUUGAGGAUAGCAAACCUGAAAGAGGGCGACGCCAACACAAAUUUUUUUCACAUAAAAAUAAAUUCAAGAAGGAGAAAAACUUCAUCCAUAAGCUCAAGAUGGGGUCUGAUUGGGAAAGCUUACACAAAGAGAAGGAGAAGGUGA